UACGAAGGGGGCUAGCGUUGUUCGGAAUUACUGGGCGUAAAGGGCGCGUAGGCGGCUGUGCAAGUCAGGUGUGAAAGCCCUGGGCUCAACCCAGGAUGUGCACUUGAUACUGCGCGGCUAGAGUGUCGGAGAGGAUGGUGGAAUUCCCAGUGUAGAGGUGAAAUGCGUAGAGAUCGGGAGGAACAUCUGUGGCGAAGGCGGCCAUCUGGACCAGCACUGACACUGAGGAGCGAAAGCCAGGGGAGCAAACGGG
rnacentral:rRNA from 1 species